UACAGAGGUCUCAAGCGUUGUUCGGAUUCAUUGGGCGUAAAGGGUGCGUAGGCGGCGCGGUAAGUCGGGUGUGAAAUCUCGGAGCUUAACUCCGAAACUGCAUUCGAUACUGCCGUGCUUGAGGACUGGAGAGGAGACUGGAAUUUACGGUGUAGCGGUGAAAUGCGUAGAUAUCGUAAGGAAGACCAGUGGCGAAGGCGGGUCUCUGGGACGGUACUGACGCUGAGACGCGAAAGCGUGGGGAGCGAACAG
rnacentral:rRNA from 1 species